GCCCUUGUGCUUUUUUAUAUAUAUUUUUUUUUCAGGUGAAGGGGUAGUGGGUAAAUGACUUGUGAAGCUUUGAUAGAUGUAUAGCAGUUGCUGAUACCUACGUUCUGUCCUUGGCAGCCCAUUUGGCCACCGGUGAUCUUGUGGGCUAAUGGCAUCCUCACAGUGCCUUGCGCACUAGUAGCUUGUGAUUAUUACCUGUUACAUCCAUAUAAUUACGAAGACCUUGGAUUUGGAAGGCUGGCCAAGUUUGGUUCCAAGAUCAACUUUGGAAAGGGUGUCCUUAAUACAAUUUGUAGAGAAGUUAUUGUUGAGUUGCCUGAUACUUAGGAGCUGAUCUUCUCGACUCUCGAGGAAUCUAUGCCCAUGAGGGCACCAUCCCACUCGUGUUGUUUCAAUAUCACUAAAUCAAUGACCAGGAUCUAGCAGUCCAUUUCGGUUCUAUGCACUAUCAUAUACAUGUAGG
rnacentral:misc_RNA from 1 species